rnacentral:rRNA from 1 species
CCUACGGGUGGCAGCAGUGGGGGAUAUUGCACAAUGGGGGAAACCCUGAUGCAGCGACGCCGCGUGUGGGAAGACGGUCUUCUGGAUUGUAAUCCACUGUCCCCAGGGACGAAAAUGACGGUACCUGGGGAGGAAGCUCCGGCUAACUACGUGCCAGCAGCCGCGGUAAUACGUAGGGAGCAAGCGUUGUCCGGAAUUACUGGGUGUAAAGGGAGCGUAGGCGGGGAUGCAAGUUGGGUGUCAAAACUACCGGCUCAACCGAUAGUCGCACUCAAAACUGCAACUCUUGAGUGAAGUAGAGGCAGGCGGAAUUCCGAGUGUAGCGGUGAAAUGCGUAGAUAUUAGGAGGAACACCAGUGGCGAAGGCGGCCUGCUGGGCUUUUACUGACGCUGAGGCUCGAAAGUGUGGUGAGCAAACAGGAUUAGAUACCCGGGUAGUC